rnacentral:lncRNA from 1 species
AAAGUUAUUCAAUGUGACAGUGGAGGUGAGUUUAAACCUGUACAAAAAGUGGCACUUGAAACAGGAAUUCAAUUUAGGAUGUCAUGUCCUUACACCUCCAAACAAAAUGGUAGAGCUAAAAGGAAACAUAGACAUGUAGCUGAGUUAGGCCUAACCUUGCUAGCUCAAGCAAAGAUGCCUAUGCAUUAUUGGUGGAAGGCUUUCUCUACUGCAGUAUACUUGAUAAAUAGGCUUCCAUCAUUUGUUACUCAAAAUGAGAGUCCCUACUGUUUGAUCCACAAGAAAGAGCCAGAUUACAAUUUCCUAAAGCCUUUUGGGUGUGCUUGUUAUCCCUGUCUCAAACCAUACAAUAAGCACAAGCUUCAAUUUCACACAACUAGGUGUGUGUUCUUGGGAUAUAGCGGUGCUCAUAAAGGAUACAAGUGUAUCAAUUCUCAUGGGAGAGUCUUCAUCUCAAGACAUGUAGUAUUCAAUGAAGAUCAUUUUCCCUUUCAUGAUGGAUUUCUUGACACAAGAAAUCCAUUGAAAACUCUAACUGAAAAUGCUACAACAUUAUUUCCCCUUUUUCCUGCAGGUACUGCUGUAACAAACACCACAAAUGAGCCAAUGGGAAAUGGAGAAAAUUCAACUUUUGAGAAUAAUUCAAGUGCAGACCAGUCAACAACAAUAGACAGGUUCAGUGAUGAUGGUGAUGAAUCAACUCAUGGGCUUGACGAUACUGGAAUAGAUAAAAAUGACGACUCAACUGAAACAAGUCAAAUGAGUACACAUAUUGAACCUGAAGUCAGAGCAACAGGUGAAGAAAGCAACACCAACACACACUGGAUGUGCACUAGAAGCAAAGAUGGAAUCCACAAACCAAAACAACCAUACAUUGGAAUGGUACAAGGCUGCACAGAUGACAAGGAACCCG